ACAACGGCAUUGCCCUAGUACGGCGAGUGAAGCGGCAACAGCUCAAAUUUGAAAGCUGGCUCCGGCCCGCGUUGUAAUUUGCAGAGGAUGCUUCUGGCGAGGUGCCUUCCGAGUUCCCUGGAACGGGACGCCGUAGAGGGUGAGAGCCCCGUAUGGAUGGACACCAAACCUGUGUGAAGCUCCUUCAACGAUUCGAGUAGUUUGGGAAUGCUGCUCUAAAUGGGAGGUAAAUCUCUUCUAAAGCUAAAUACCGGCCAAAGACCGAUAGCGCACAAGUAGAGUGAUCGAAAGAUGAAAAGCACCUUGAAAAGGGGGUUAAACAGUACGUGAAAUUGUUGAAAGGGAAGCGCUUGUGACCAUACUUGCGCCGGGCAGCUCAUCAGGGGUUCUCCCCUGUGCACUCUGCCCGGCUCAGGCCAGCAUCGGUUCUUGUGGGAGGAUAAGAACGGUAGGAACGUGGCCCCCCUCCGGGGGGGUGUUAUAGCCUGCCGUACGAUACUCCCGUGGGGACCGAGGUUCGCGCUCCGCAAGGAUGCUGGCGUAAUGGUCAUCAACGACCCGUCUUGAACCACGGACCA
rnacentral:rRNA from 1 species